UACAGAGGUCUCAAGCGUUGUUCGGAUUCAUUGGGCGUAAAGGGUGCGUAGGUGGCGGGGCAAGUUUGGUGUGAAAUCCCGGGGCUCAACCUCGGAACUGCACUGAAUACUGCCUUGCUUGAGCACUGGAGAGGGAACUGGAAUUUACGGUGUAGCAGUGAAAUGCGUAGAUAUCGUAAGGAAGACCAGUGGCGAAGGCGAGUUCCUGGACAGUUGCUGACACUGAGGCACGAAGGCUAGGGGACCAAACGGG
rnacentral:rRNA from 1 species